AACUAAUCUAUGAAAAAAUUCUGAAAAUUUAGAAAAAAUGAAAAUUCAAUAACAAUUUUUAAAAACAAAGGAACAUAAAUACUUUUGAAAUGUUUACAGUUAAAAAAGAAAAGUUUCAGCCAUUUUUAUUAAUUGGAGUGCCUGCAACUUGUGAAAAUGUUCACAAAUCCAGAACUUUUCCACAAAUUUUCAUAUUCAUAUGUAUCAGAGGUAGCCGUGUUAGUCUGUAUCCACAAAAACAAGGAGUCCAGUGGCACCUUAAAGACUAACAGAUUUAUUUGGGCAUAAGCUUUCAUGGGAUGCAUCCGAAGAAGUGAGGUCUUUUACCCAGGAAGCUUAUGCCCAUAUUCAUAUGUGUUUGUUCAAAAAUAUGCAUUGGAAAGUAUGAUGAUAUCCCUAUUUACAAAAGUUACACUCACCCAAUCAGGAAGCAGAAACAAUACCAAGUGACUUAGGUGACCAAUGGUACAAAAGACACACAUAAAAGUAGUUUAUAGUCAAAUUAUGGCACUGGCAAACCAGUGCCGCCUCCAGCUUAGGGAAGGGAAAAAAAAAAAAAGCUGUGAUUGGCGGCAGCUGAACUGCGUCGCUUCAUUCUUCGGUGCCAAUUCAGCGGCGGGUCUUUCGCUCUGAGAGGGACUGAGGAACCCGCUGCUGAAGACCCAGAUGUGCCGCCCCCCUUUACAUUGGCCGCCCCAAGCACCUACUUCAUUUGCUGGUGCCUGGAGCCCUGUGGCAAACAAUCCAUACAAUAUUAAUUGUUCACAUAGGUUAUUCUGCUGAUAUUUACAAAUCAUUGGCCCUGGUGUUCAGCUAGUCUUUGUUGGGGUAAAUAAUGGAGCUGUAUCAGUUUAUGCCAGCUAAAUAACUGGCUCCAUAAAUCUAUUGUAAGAACCAGGAUUGGUUUGUAAACAACCCACUCACAGAAGAAAGCUAAAAUCAAAACAAAUAUUAAAAUUCACAGUGAAAAAAUUCUACCAGCUCCAUUGAAAGCCUCUUGACCUGCCUCUGUUUUCAGUCCUGAUCAGUAUUCCACCUGCCUUCUCCUCUCUCUUUCCAUCCAGAACUUUGCUAAGUAUUUCAGACAAGGGAAAGAAAUCAAUGCCAUCUGGUAGGAGUCGUCUGCCCCUUGACUCCCUGUCCCCCACCCAUGCUGCCCCAACUCUCUUCUGAACCCCAGUUCCGUUUGCUCGUUCUUUGAGCUGUCCCCAUCUCCUUUCAGCUCUUGAUUUCCCUUUCUCUAGUUCUCUCCUGGACUGGUCUAUACUAAAAAGUUAGAUCGACCCAGCUACAUUGCUCAAGAGUAUGAAAAAUCCACACCCCGGAGCGACGUAGUUAAGCCGACCUAACCCCCAGUGUAGACAGCACCAGGUUAAUGGAAGAAUUCUUCCACUGACGUAGCUACCGUCUCUCAGGGAGGUGGAUUGCCUACACCAAUGGGUGAACCCCUCCUGUCAGCACAGGUAGUAUCUACACUGAAGUGCUGUAGCUGCACUGCUGUAGCAUUUCAAGUGUAGAGAAUCCCUCUGUAUUCCUUCCAUCAGCCUUCCAGCGUUCACUCCAGCACGGCAGGAUCCCAGCUCCCUGACUUCCCUCCCACUCCGUCCUAACCCUGUUUUCUCUGCCUCUGUUGGCAAUUCCACUGUCCUCCUGACUGCCCAGAGUCACCCCCUCGGAAUUAUUGUGGACUCCAAUCUCUCCAUUCCCUUCUACCUCAUCCUGGCUGUCCGCAGCUCCCAACAGUUCUUCCUCUUACAGCAGCCCCCUUUCUUUCCCACUGCUCCCUGGCCCAUGCUUUGGCCAUGUCUCAACGUGACCACUGCACCCUGCUGCCCUCCAGCCUCCUUGCUUCCCACUUCACAUCCCUUCAGUCCAUGCUGGCCAUCUUCCUUGCUCUCUGCUCCAACUAUACCACCCGCCUCCCAGAUUCCCGACCCUGCUUCUUCCUGCAGCAGUAUUGUACCCCUCACAUCUGAUCCCGCAGGCUGUCCCAUUUCAGCAUUGAUUUCUUUGGGACUCAAGCAUGUACUCGAGUGCUUUGCUGAGCUGGGUCCCUCAUCCUCCCCUCCAAGGCUGCAUGAGGCUGCUCCAGCCUGCCUCCCGGAUCUUAUCUCCUCCUUUGCCCCACCCCCUCACUCCAUCUUCCUGCCUACAUCCCCCUGCCUAAUCGUGCCCAGUGUGGCCUUCAGCAGUUGGGCCAGAGCCUGAGUUAGUGCAAAUCUGCAUCACUGGGGCAAACACCAGGUUAUGCUAGCUGAGAGGCCAUAUCCCAUUUUCUCCAUUGUGUCCCUUAUGGGAAGGUGUAAUAAGGAGGGAACGGGGGGAUGUAUUCGGGCAUUGGAUAAAAGUUAAACAAGAAAGUAGGAAAGGGUUAAAGCCCCAAUCCUGAAACACAUAAGCACAUGCUUCAUUGAUAUAGUCCCAUUGAAAUCAGCAGGGCGACUCACGGUGCAUAAAGCUAAGCAUGAGCAGCGGUGUUUGCAGGCUGAGGGCCUAAAUGAAUAAACCCAAUAAUCGUAAUAAUUCAAGAAAAGUGCAAAGAGUUAAAAGACGUUUCUGGAAAACCAGUGGGAAAGGAGAGGGUUAAACACAACUGUGAAAAAUGCUAAAGAGUUAAAAGAAAAUCAAAAAAGAAGAAAACAAAAAAGAGUUAAAGGAAAAAAUCCUAAAAAAUAGAAAAUAAGGAAGGUUAAAGUUUUUAAAAAGAAAAUAGGGAAGAGUUGGAAAACAUAGAACUGUAAAUGGUUAAAAUUAAAAGAAAUCAGGAAAGGAUUAAAUAUUAAAGAAAGGAAUUGCAAGGGGUUAAAAAUUUAAAAGUAAAUGAAAGGUUUAAAAUAGAAAUAAAAACCAGAAUUGGACAGUAUUAAAAAUAACAUUUGAAAUGUUUAAGAGUAUAAGAAAAUAGAUUUUUAAAAAUGGAAGAAAAAACUGGAAACUGUAAAAGGUUAAAAAGUUAUAUGAAAAUAGGAAAUCCUUUGUGGGGUUUAGUGUGUGGGUGCUGGUGGCCCGUGAGGUACAGGAGGUCAGACUAGAUCAUCCGGUCGUCCCUUCUAGCCUUAAACUCUGAUUAUGUACAACAAGAAGAGGAAAGUUAAAGAAAACAUGUAUUAAAAGAAAUAGUAACAAGGCAACGGUUAAAGAUAAAAACAGAGAAAGGGAUAAAAAUAAUUUUUAAAACUAAUAGAGAAUAUUUUAGGCAAUGGUUCGAAUCAUAUAAAAACAACCGAAACAAAACAAUAGACAAUGUGGAAAGGAGGAAACAAAUGAGAGGAAUCAGGCGUGCAGCUGAUGAUCCGAAAGGCAUCCAGGCAUCGGUGUCCAGUGAAACUUAUGGCAACUGCAGAUGCUGAUAUAGCCCGAACCCUGCAAACGCUCAUGCAUGUGGGGUGAAAUUCAUCCCUGAUAUGGAGAACCCCCGUGUGGAGUCACUGAGCUCAGCAACCCUGCAGGCAUGCAGGUUGUAACAUGAGGCCCCUAAAUGAGAUGUCAGCAGCUGGAACCCUGGAUCUCUGGAUCUCAAAGCAUGAGCUGAAAGCUGUGCUGCUUGAGCUAAAAUAAUUGGCUUUGAUAGCUCAACAAAAGGCUGCAGCAGCUCAUACAUCUCUAUGUGAUCCACCACUAAAGAGGGACAGAAAACCACAAGCAUGUAUGUGUCCCUGAUCUCUUUGUGGGAAGGUGCCCUGGAACUAGUGCAAAGGGGCUGCCUGCUGCUCUAGCGCAGAGGUUGGAGUAGCAGCUCCAAGGGACCUGAGCAACAGCCAGGGGUGGAGGUGAAUGGAGUCUGGAUAUCCGGGCAGAGACUGUAAACUUUACUCACCUGGGUCAACCGGUUAAGCUGGCUGGGACUGUGUGUGAACAGAGUCUCAUGUGUGUGUGUGUUUGCAGGAUUAGGGUGUGACUGCCAACUGCCUUUCUCCAUCUGGUGGCGCUAAUUACACCUGUGCAAAUGUGAGUGUUAAAUAUUGGGAAUGACCCCACUGGAGUCCUGGGGGUGGAUUCCCCUCUCGCUCACCCUGGUAUAAAUCAGGAGUAACUCCACUGGAGUUACACUGAUGUAAAACUGAUGCAACAGAGCUGAGGAUCAAGCCCAGUGACUCCCAUGGGACUACUCAUGUAAUUGGUGCUGGCAGAAUAAGCCCCUGGGGGACUCGAUACACAGGCAGCUCCUCUCAUGCAGAUCUUUACUGGCAUUCAUAGUCAGUGUGGGAGUAAUAAAAUUUUAGGGACAGAUCCUCUGCUGCUGGAACCUGGCAGAGCUGCAUUGACUUAACUGGAGCUAUGCCAAUUAAACCAGCUGAGGAACUGGCUGAGGUAACUGUUUGCAGGCUCAUAGAAGUUCUGGGGGAAGAGACCCAGAUACCUAGCUCAAUUUCAGGGCACGUUGGGCCAGAUCUGGAGUGAUCCUGAGCACCUGCAAUGAUACCACCACGAUGGGCGCUAGAAAAAACCCUGCAGAUACACUGGUGCUUGGCAGCUCCCCCUGGAUUUGGCCCAGCAUUCCGUCAUGAUGCUGAGAAUGGAUGCUACGCGGGGAACACCUCCCCAUGCUGGUGGAGCAGGGUCCUGCUCUCUCUUCAGGUCCCUGCAAAGUGCAGCUGUGCUAGUCCACUGCCCACAAAAGCUUGACUUAUUUACUUGUUAAUAACAAACACUGCCCUGCUCUGUGACGCUCCAGUGACUAGUCAUCCGGGGAGGUACUGGGCCCAAGGCCUGCCAGAGGUCCAAGCACCAGUUUGUUCCUGGACCUCUGGCAAGCCCUGGGCUUGGGGCCAAAUUUCCCCCUUUCUCUGCUUAUGUGUCUGAGCUGCUGUGUUCUCUUUGUCUCUUAGGUUGUAAGCUCCUUAAAGCAGGGACCGUGUCUUUUUCUGUGUUCUGUGGGGCAAGAGCACAUGCUAGCUGCUCAAUGUAGAACAAACAGAGACGGUGGUGGUGGUGGAGGGGAAGCUGAUGGCCUAUCAGAGAUUCCAUGCAAGAGAGAGAACCAUUAUAAAUGUCCGGCUGUGGCCGGAGCUCAGGUCUUGGGACACAUCAGAGGACACGCUUUGGAGAGAGACCCUUAUAAGUGACCUGACUGAAGGGGAACGCUUGGGUGAGAGCUCACUCCUUGUUAUGCACCAGAGACUCUGCACUGGAGAGAGACCCUAUAGAUGCCCUGGUGAGGGCUGGCUGCAGUGCAUAUCAGAGGCAUGAUAUGAUAUAUCAGAGGCAGCUGUCUGUCCCUGGAUUCAGGGGGCAUCAGCAGGUGAUUGGUGAUCCUCUGACUCCACCCAGCCUAGCAGACCCCAGGUGGGUGAGGGAGAGAGAACUAUCCUUCUGUAGCUUCUAGCCCCUGGCUGAAGAUUCCCUCCCCAUGCCCUGUGGUCCACACUACUCCCAUUGCUGGGCCCAGCAGAAGAGGAACGGAGAACCCCAGUCCUCUGGAUACGUCUCCCUCAUCUUUGAGCCUGGGAACAGGGAUGUCGGGCACAUCACACCUUCCCAAGAGGACCUGAGACCCAGUGGCCUUCUGUCUCUUAGCACAUUCAUUGCCUGGAUCUGUUUCUGGGAUGGCGGUGAGGAGGUGGAUGUGUCCUCAUAACCCCUUUUCUUCCAAAUUCUUCCAGGACACCUGCGUGUGAUUAACCUGUGGAACCUGCAGCUGCAGGAAAUUACUGGGGCACACAGCUCCACAAAGGCCUCUUCUAGCUCCAGAGUGCAGGCUGGGACUCUGCAUUGUAAUAACUGCAUGACAGAGAGCUCAGUGCCUCCUCCCAGGUGGACCUGCCUUGGACCAGCACCAAGUAAAAGGACAAUCUCCCUGAAGGACAGACACAAAUGUAUCUGGUCCUGAUCCUACUCCAGGCGGUUGUCCCACCUCUUCCAAGUGAAGGUCUUUGUAUUAUUCAAGAAAGAAGCUGGGGAGAUGACCCCCCUGGUCAGGCCUGAAUCCUUCCUGACCCACAUCACCGAGGCCAGAGGGAGAAGACGACCUUGACAUUCAGCUGGGCAUCUUCCACCCUAUCUGCCACAGAGUGCUGGAUGGGGAUGACAGAGACUGACUCUCUGCCGCACACAUCCCCAGAGGGGAUAAAAGCCUCACCUAGAAUCAGAGAUGCUGGAACCUGCCCCCUGCCUGUGAGAGUGGCUGCCAGCCGACAAGAGGUUAAUGCUAAAAUAUUAGAUGGUAAUUACUUAACUACAAUUUAACUGAGAUUUAUAUAUUUUCUAGUAUCUGCUUGUUUGCUUUUGUAACUGGCGCCAACUGUCUCUUCGAUUUGCCUGUACUUUCUGAUCGGCUUGGAAAUGUUUUACUGCUUGUGAACAGCAACGUGCCCAUUUGUUUUUCUGAAAUGCAAUGUACUGGAUUGAAAUUUUUGUGCAUUGAGUUGUCAUGAUGGCUCUGUUUUUAUUUUACUUUACUUCAUUCUCUUUCUUUCAAUGAGUAGUAAUAAAUUAGAAUUUAGUUA